rnacentral:rRNA from 1 species
GAUGAACGCUGACAGAAUGCUUAACACAUGCAAGUCAUUGGCGAAGCUGCGCUUGCGCAGUCUAGCCAAGGCGGACGGGUGAGUAACGCGUAAGGAACUUGCCCUGCAGACAGGGAUAACAGACGGAAACGACUGAUAACACCUGGUAUUGUCAGGCUGGCGCAUGCCGGCCUGAUGAAAGGAGACGCUGCAGGAGAGCCUUGCGUCCUAUUAGCUAGUUGGUGGGGUAACGGCCCACCAAGGCGAUGAUAGGUAGCCGGCCUGAGAGGGUGAACGGCCACAGGGGGACUGGGAUACGGCCCUUACUCCUUGGGGAGGCAGCAGGGGGGAAUAUUGGACAAUGGGGGCAACCCUGAUCCAGCAUUGCUGUGGGCAAGAAGAGGGUUUUCGGAUGGUAAAGUGCUUUCAGCAGGGAAGAAGAAAGUGACGGUACCUGCAGAAGAAGCGCCGGCUAAAUCCGU